rnacentral:lncRNA from 1 species
GGGAAAGGGUAGAAGAGCUUUGAACAUGUCACGCUUGCAGGCCUGCAGGACCAGGACGUACAGAUGGAGAUUUCUUGAGUGUGGCACCAGAGUCACGGGAGUGAACAAGAGACAAGGUCCCCACACUCCAGUGGGAGACAGUGAACAAAUAAACACUGCGGAGGCCACAAAAUGCCUGGAAGGAAAUAAGGAUGGGAGCACGAUGGGUGAAGGAUGGCUGCUUUUUGAUGUAGCACCAUCUGGACGCCUCCUUGGAUAAGGUGACAUUUGAGCAAACACCAAGGGGAAGAAACUUGGGGAGAAACAAGGGGAGUCAUGCAGAUAUUGGGGCAUGGGUGGAAGAGCAUUUCAGGGCAAGAGGACAGCAAGUGCAAAGGCUCCUGGGCAAGGAAUUUGCUAGCUGCAUUUGAGGAACAGCCAGGAGGUCACUGGGCUGGAGUGCAGUCAGACGAACGGUGGCUAAGUCAUGGGGAGGCUUAAAGGUCAUUGUGAGGAGGUUGGCUUUUCUGCUGAGGGAUAUGGGAGGCUACUGGAGGUCUGGAGCAGAGGAUGACUCACCUACCUUAGUUGCUGAAAGGAUCUGAGGGUGGACUACAGGGGACAGGGGCUGGACCAGAGAGACACUUAGGGAACUACUCCAACAAUUCAGGUGAGAGUUGGUGGCUUGGAUCGGGUCAGUGGUUAGUGGGAGAGUGUAUUAGUCUGUUCUCACAAUGCUGAUAAAGACAUACCUGAGCCUGGGGAAUUUAUAAAGGAAAGAGGUGUAAUUGGCUCACAACUCUGCAGGGCCGGGGAAGCCUCAGCAAAUGUCGAAUCGUAGUGGAAAGGGAAGCAAACACAUCCUUCAUCACAUGAUGAUGGAAGUGGACAGCACGAGAGGAAUUUGGAAACUGAAAAUAUUCUAGAGAUAGAGGAGUUAGGAUUUCCUGCUGGAUCAGAUGUGCGUGUGAGAGGAGGAGGAGCCCAGGGUGACUCCUGGCUUUUGGGCUGAGC